AUUUUCCUUCACCUCUCUCUCUCUCUAGCCGAGACCCUCUCUCUCUACCCGGUCGCCGGAAAUCGCCGCCGGCGCCGUCGCCGGAAUCCGGAUUUCAACCAAAAUUUCCAGAUUUUCUCCUCUUCCUUCCCUCUUUCCAUUUCUCUAACCAAAAUCAUGAAAUUUAGCCAUUUAAUCCCCCAAAAACCCUAGAACCCGAAGCUAAAAUUGGGGCUUUUGUGAUUUCUUCUUUCCAAGCUCAAAUCAAGGUAUUUUCCAUCCUAAUCUAGCCUAUAUUCCUUCGAUCUAUACAUCUUUCUUCCUAAAUCCGAGUUUUUGAUUUGGGUUUGUGAUUUUGUUUGCAUGAACCCGAUUUCUCCUUGAACCAUGAAGCUAGGCUAUGGGUUUGGCAAGGAUUUUUGGUGAAGAAGGCCAAGGAGAAGGAAUAUGAUGUGAUUUUUGAAGAAGAAAGGGAAACACGAUCGUUAAGAAAGUUUAAGCGGGAAGCAGCAGAGUGUGGAAUACGCCGGCAUAUUCCAGGUAGGGUGAGCUGUCCCUUCCUUGUUAGAGGCUUUUCGAUAUAUGUGGAAUGCUCUAGUAAAAUAUUAUGUUGCCUGCAAGUAUGUUUUUGGUUGUUCAUUAGUCGAUGCCUCGU